rnacentral:rRNA from 1 species
UGUGACCUCAAAUCAGGUAGGACUACCCGCU